rnacentral:rRNA from 1 species
UGGGGAAUAUUGCACAAUGGCGGCAAGCCUGACUGCAGCCAUGCCGCGUGUAUGAAGAAGGCCAAUUCGGGGCUUUGGUUAAAGAUACUUUCAGCGAGGAGGAAGGCAUUAAGGUUAAUAACCUUAGUGAUUGACGUUACUCGCAGAAGAAGCACCGGCUAACUCCGUGCCAGCAGCCGCGGUAAUACGGAGGGUGCAAGCGUUAAUCGGAAUUACUGGGCGUAAAGCGCACGCAGGCGGUCUGUCAAGUCGGAUGUGAAAUCCCCGGGCUCAACCUGGGAACUGCAUCCGAAACUGGCAGGCUAGAGUCUUGUAGAGGGGGUAGAAUUCCAGGUGUAGCGGUGAAAUUGCGUAGAGAUCUGGAGGAAUACCGGUGGCGAAGGUGGCCCCCUGGACAAAGACUGACGCUCAGGUGCGAAAGCGUGGGAGCAAACA